rnacentral:tmRNA from 1 species
GGGGGUGUUCCGGAAUUCGACUGUCGAUCGUAGUUUAUGUCUGCGUGCCGAAGACGACACUUGGCUUCGUAAAAAUGUGUCAAAAAAACUAAUAAAUGGCGAAGAAUACGCUAUUGCUGCUUAAUUAUCGCGGCACGUCCGCUCUCUGAUACCCGAUAGGAGAGAACGGGCGACGACAUCGGGAACAGGGGGUAUCGUCGAUUCUGCGGGGCGGUGCCCGCCGCAAACCGGAGAAUGCCCGCCGCGCGGCUGUCCGAGCCCAACGCGUCGGAAAGAUUAAGUCGGGACUACGCAUGUAGACGGCAUAUCCGAAAGUCUUCAGGACAGGGGUUCGACUCCCCUCACCUCCACCA